CUCCGACUUCUGUAAAGCUCGAAGGAAGACCCACCUGGAUCCACGCUUCCCACUGCAAAAGGAUAAGGAACCCGCCAGAUCCAGAGCUAAUAAAAUGAUUUUCUUCUGUCUGUUAGCACUAUUAACACUCACCACAAGUGCAUAAAUUCCU